rnacentral:rRNA from 1 species
UACGUAGGUGGCAAGCGUUGUCCGGAUUUAUUGGGUUUAAAGGGUGCGUAGGCGGCUUUGUAAGUCAGUGGUGAAAUAUGGCAGCUUAACUGUCAGGGUGCCAUUGAUACUGCGGAGCUUGAGUACAGAUGAGGUAGGCGGAAUUGACGGUGUAGCGGUGAAAUGCUUAGAUAUCGUCAAGAACACCUAUAGCGGAGGCAGCUUACUAGGCUGUAACUGACGCUGAGGCACGAAAGUGUGGGGAUCAAACAGG